CGUUUUACCUCUACUAGAUACCACUGAUUUUCUUGGUGAGCAUGCACUGGGGAAGGAGAUGUGUGUUUGGCUAUGAAAUGGAUUUACUGACCUGACUCAAAUACCUGAGAGUGCUUUAGAUGCCUAGAAAAUCAAGAAAAGAGGAAAGGUUAGAAGACUUUGGAGAGACCAGAGCUUCUGCAGUGGCAGAGAUCUUGAAAAAAUGUUUGAGAAAUUGGCAAG
rnacentral:lncRNA from 1 species